rnacentral:rRNA from 1 species
UACGUAGGGGGCGAGCGUUGUCCGGAAUUAUUGGGCGUAAAGGGCUCGUAGGCGGUUUGUCGCGUCGGGAGUGAAAAUCCAGGGCUUAACUCUGGACUGGCUUCCGAUACGGGCAGACUAGAGGUAUGCAGGGGAGAACGGAAUUCCUGGUGUAGCGGUGAAAUGCGCAGAUAUCAGGAGGAACACCGGUGGCGAAGGCGGUUCUCUGGGCCUGUACUGACGCUGAGGAACGAAAGCGUGGGGAGCGAACAGG